rnacentral:rRNA from 1 species
AAAUUGAAGAGUUUGAUCAUGGCUCAGAUUGAACGCUGGCGGCAGGCCUAACACAUGCAAGUCGAACGGUAACAGGAAGCAGCUUGCUGCUUCGCUGACGAGUGGCGGACGGGUGAGUAAUGUCUGGGAAACUGCCUGAUGGAGGGGGAUAACUACUGGAAACGGUGGCUAAUACCGCAUAACGUCGCAAGACCAAAGAGGGGGACCUUCGGGCCUCUUGCCAUCAGAUGUGCCCAGAUGGGAUUAGCUUGUUGGUGAGGUAACGGCUCACCAAGGCGACGAUCCCUAGCUGGUCUGAGAGGAUGACCAGCCACACUGGAACUGAGACACGGUCCAGACUCCUACGGGAGGCAGCAGUGGGGAAUAUUGCACAAUGGGCGCAAGCCUGAUGCAGCCAUGCCGCGUGUAUGAAGAAGGCCUUCGGGUUGUAAAGUACUUUCAGCGGGGAGGAAGGUGUUGAGGUUAAUAACCGCAGCAAUUGACGUUACCCGCAGAAGAAGCACCGGCUAACUCCGUGCCAGCAGCCGCGGUAAUACGGAGGGUGCAAGCGUUAAUCGGAAUUACUGGGCGUAAAGCGCACGCAGGCGGUCUGUCAAGUCGGAUGUGAAAUCCCCGGGCUCAACCUGGGAACUGCAUUCGAAACUGGCAGGCUUGAGUCUUGUAGAGGGGGGUAGAAUUCCAGGUGUAGCGGUGAAAUGCGUAGAGAUCUGGAGGAAUACCGGUGGCGAAGGCGGCCCCCUGGACAAAGACUGACGCUCAGGUGCGAAAGCGUGGGGAGCAAACAGGAUUAGAUACCCUGGUAGUCCACGCCGUAAACGAUGUCUACUUGGAGGUUGUGCCCUUGAGGCGUGGCUUCCGGAGCUAACGCGUUAAGUAGACCGCCUGGGGAGUACGGCCGCAAGGUUAAAACUCAAAUGAAUUGACGGGGGCCCGCACAAGCGGUGGAGCAUGUGGUUUAAUUCGAUGCAACGCGAAGAACCUUACCUGGUCUUGACAUCCACAGAACUUUCCAGAGAUGGAUUGGUGCCUUCGGGAACUGUGAGACAGGUGCUGCAUGGCUGUCGUCAGCUCGUGUUGUGAAAUGUUGGGUUAAGUCCCGCAACGAGCGCAACCCUUAUCCUUUGUUGCCAGCGGUCCGGCCGGGAACUCAAAGGAGACUGCCAGUGAUAAACUGGAGGAAGGUGGGGAUGACGUCAAGUCAUCAUGGCCCUUACGACCAGGGCUACACACGUGCUACAAUGGCGCAUACAAAGAGAAGCGACCUCGCGAGAGCAAGCGGACCUCAUAAAGUGCGUCGUAGUCCGGAUUGGAGUCUGCAACUCGACUCCAUGAAGUCGGAAUCGCUAGUAAUCGUGGAUCAGAAUGCCACGGUGAAUACGUUCCCGGGCCUUGUACACACCGCCCGUCACACCAUGGGAGUGGGUUGCAAAAGAAGUAGGUAGCUUAACCUUCGGGAGGGCGCUUACCACUUUGUGAUUCAUGACUGGGGUGAAGUCGUAACAAGGUAACCGUAGGGGAACCUGCGGUUGGAUCACCUCCUUACCUUAAAGAA